GACGAACGCUGGCGGCGUGCUUAACACAUGCAAGUCGAACGGUGAAGCGCCUUCCUUUUUGGUGGGUGUGGAUGAGUGGCGAACGGGUGAGUAACACGUGAGUAAUCUGCCCCCUUCUUCUGGAUAACCGCAUGAAAGUGUGGCUAAUACGGGAUAUUCUGGGUCUGUCGCAUGAUGGGUCUGGGAAAGAUAUUGUUUCGGUGGGGGAUGGGCUCGCGGCCUAUCAGCUUGUUGGUGGGGUGAUGGCCUACCAAGGCGGUGACGGGUAGCCGGCCUGAGAGGGUGGACGGUCACACUGGGACUGAGACACGGCCCAGACUCCUACGGGAGGCAGCAGUGGGGAAUAUUGCACAAUGGGCGCAAGCCUGAUGCAGCGACGCCGCGUGAGGGAUGGAGGCCUUCGGGUUGUGAACCUCUUUCGCCAGUGAAGCAGGCCUGCCUCGUUUGUGGGUGGGUUGACGGUAGCUGGAUAAGAAGCGCCGGCUAACUACGUG
rnacentral:rRNA from 1 species